CCUACGGGGGGCAGCAGUGGGGAAUAUUGCGCAAUGGGCGAAAGCCUGACGCAGCGACGCCGCGUGAGGGAUGAAGGUCUUCGGAUCGUAAACCUCUGUCAGCAGGGAAGAACGGUCACUGUGCUAAUCAGCAGUGACUUGACGGUACCUGCAAAGGAAGCACCGGCUAACUCCGUGCCAGCAGCCGCGGUAAUACGGAGGGUGCGAGCGUUAAUCGGAAUUACUGGGCGUAAAGCGCUCGUAGGCGGUCUGUCAAGUCAAGGGUGAAAUCCCCGCGCUCAACGUGGGAACUGCCUUUGAAACUGGCAAACUGGAGUGUGUGAGAGGAUAGUGGAAGUCCAGGUGUAGGAGUGAAAUCCGUAGAUAUCUGGAGGAACAGCAGUGGCGAAGGCGACUAUCUGGCACAUAACUGACGCUGAGGAGCGAAAGCGUGGGUAGCAAACAGGAUUAGAUACCCCAGUAGUC
rnacentral:rRNA from 1 species